UUCUGCAGGGCAACCAGGCUGGCGUUUGAUUAAUCACAUGCAACGUUGGAGAGAUCACCUCACCCACAACACAGACUUCUCCAUCAGAAUGAGCUACACGACGCCGGUUUGCUAUCCUGUCUGAAGGUUGAAGUGCUGGCAGUUAUUUCCAAAAUGACUGUGUUCCAUACUAUU
rnacentral:lncRNA from 1 species